GACGGGGGGGGCAAGUGUUCUUCGGAAUGACUGGGCGUAAAGGGCACGUAGGCGGUGAAUCGGGUUGAAAGUGAAAGUCGCCAAAAAGUGGCGGAAUGCUCUCGAAACCAAUUCACUUGAGUGAGACAGAGGAGAGUGGAAUUUCGUGUGUAGGGGUGAAAUCCGUAAAUAUACGAAGGAACGCCAAAAGCGAAGGCAGCUCUCUGGGUCCCUACCGACGCUGGGGUACGAAAGCAUGGGGAGCGAACAGG
rnacentral:rRNA from 1 species